GGAGAGCUGGCAGAACGGCUAUUGCACCGGUCUUGAAAACCGGCGCCCGCAAGGGCUUGCAGGUUCGAAUCCUGCGCUCUCCG
rnacentral:tRNA from 1 species